CUUUAACCAAUUAACAGCAUUUCUCAAGACAACAAACAGAAACAAUAUAAAAAUUAUUGAGAAAAAUUUUGAAAAUUAACUGUAGAUAUUUCUUAGUGGAACACAUUUACAAUAAAAUCCUAUUAGCAAAACGAGCCAACCUUCUAAAACAGACACAACUACCAUUAUUUAUUUACAUCAGAGCAGGGAGAGGAGUUGCGGUUAGUAGUUUUAGAUUCAUACUUCCAUUAGAAACCUAACUAUCGGUGGCACUGAUUCAAAGAAACGUCAAAGACCUUCAAGCAUAGAGUUCACCUGAAACAUUAAGCUUCUGGGUCCUCCGACUCAUCAUCAUUGUUGACUUCAAAAAAGAAGGGAUCCUUGAGAAGAUCAGAGGCUGAAGGUCUUGCCCUUGCCUCAGCUAUGCACUUCUCAAUAAAAACCUUCACUUCUGGAUUUUCUAUCUUGUUCAAGGCUUGAGGCUUUACUCCAGUUGUCACCUUCUUGUAUAUCUUGGCAACACUGUCACAUUCACUGUAUGGUAUCUCUGUUGUAACCAUCUCUAGCAAGCACAUUCCAAAAGAGUAUAUGUCCACCAACUCAGUGUAAUCCUCCUCAUACAGCUCUGGUGCCAUAUAUUCUGGUGUGCCUAUGACUGAAUGCGCUGCAUGGCUCUUCCCCACUAUUGUUGCAAAGCCAAGGUCACCAAUUUUCACCUGGCCAACGUUCCCAUUAACAAAGAUGUUGCUGCAAUUCAGAUCUCUGUGAAUAAUGCAUGGGUCGUGUGUAUGGAGAUACUCUAACCCCUCAAGUACCUGCUUCGACCAUUUCUUCAAGGCUUUCAAGGAGACAUGGCGAUGCUUCUUCCUGUAAUUUCUUAGAUUUCCAGAUGUACACACCUCAGUAAUAAAAUUCAAUGUACCAAGGUCUUCAUCCAACCAAACACUGUAGCAAACAAUGAUGUACUUGUUUUUUAAUGUUCUUAACAACUUAACUUCAGAAUGGAGCCUAUUAAUGAGAACUGGAUCUUCAAUAAAAUUCCUCAACCGCACUCGAUUCCAUGCCACCUCUGUACCUUCCUCUUGAUCAAAUGCCCGAUAAACCUUCUUAACAGCACCAGCACCAAGCAGAUCAUCAUAUCGCCCAAACCGUCCAGUAGGGUCAACUUCAACAAAUAGUUCACCAUCUCUGUCCAAUGUAUUGGGCCUUGCAGCUCAAAUAUCAAGACGAAGAGAAAAUCUAUGUGAGAAAAGGUUCAUAUAAUCAUAAAAUUUUCAAAAGACGACAAAAUCCAAAGAACAUUGACUCCUGUUGCAACACAUUCAAAUGGUUCACAUUGUAUUUAUGGAAAUAUACACAUAUCCUAAAUAAAUCUGUCUGGUUAUGGUCAAACAAAGCCCAAUAUCUAAUGGUCAAAUUUUUCAUCUGAUUUGGAAAAGUAAAUGCGG
rnacentral:misc_RNA from 1 species